GAUGAACGCUGGCGGCGUGCCUAAUACAUGCAAGUCGAGCGAACGGACGAGAAGCUUGCUUUUCUGAUGUUAGCGGCGGACGGGUGAGUAACACGUGGAUAACCUACCUAUAAGACUGGGAUAACUUCGGGAAACCGGAGCUAAUACCGGAUAAUAUUUUGAACCGCAUGGUUCAAAAGUGAAAGACGGUCUUGCUGUCACUUAUAGAUGGAUCCGCGCUGCAUUAGCUAGUUGGUAAGGUAACGGCUUACCAAGGCAACGAUGCAUAGCCGACCUGAGAGGGUGAUCGGUCACACUGGAACUGAGACACGGUCCAGACUCCUACGGGAGGCAGCAGUAGGGAAUCUUCCGCAAUGGGCGAAAGCCUGACGGAGCAACGCCGCGUGAGUGAUGAAGGUCUUCGGAUCGUAAAACUCUGUUAUUAGGGAAGAACAUAUGUGUAAGUAACUGUGCACAUCUUGACGGUACCUAAUCAGAAAGCCACGGCUAACUACGUG
rnacentral:rRNA from 1 species